rnacentral:lncRNA from 1 species
UUGCUAAAUUUUGUAUAUUGUUAUCAAGAAAUGAGAAGAUUGAUAGUGUUAUUAGUGUUCUUGUUUUGCUAAAUUUUGUAUAUUGUUAUCAAGAAAUGAAGAAGAUUGAUAGUGUAAUUAGUGUUCUUGUUUUGCUAAAUUUUUAUAUUGUUAUCAAGAAAUGAGAAGUGUCGAUAGUGUUAUUAGUGUUCUUGUUUUCCUAAUUUUGUAUAUUCUUUAAGAAUGAGAAGAUUGAUAGUCUUAUUAUGUUCUUGUUUCGCUAAUUUUUGUAUAUGUUAUCAAGAAAUGAGAAGAUUGAUAGUGUUAUUAGUGUUUUGUUUUGCUAAUUUUGUAUAUUGUUGUCAAGAAUGAGAAGAUUGAUAUGUUAUAGUGUUCUUGUUUUCUAAUUUUGUAUAUUGUUAUCAAGAAAUGAGAAGAUCGAUAGUGUAUUAGUGUUCUGUUUUGCUAAAUUUUGUAUAUUGCUAUAAGAAAUAGAAGAUCGAUAGUGUUAUUAGUGUUCUUGUUUGCUAAUUUUGUUUAUAUUGUUAUCAAAAAUGAGAAGAUUGAUAGUGUUAUUAGUGUUCUGUUUUUGCUAAAUUUUUGUAUAUGUUAUCAAGAAAUGAGAAGUGAUAAUGUUAUUAGUGUUCUUGUUUUGCCUAAAUUUUGUAUAUUCUUAUCAAGAAAUGAGAAGAUUGAUAGUCUGUUAUAGUGUUCUUGUUUGCUAAUUUGUAUAUUCUUGUCAAGAAAUGAGAAGAUUGAUAGUGUUAUUAGUGUUUUGUUUUGCUAAUUUUGUAUAUUGUUAUCAAAAAUGAGAAAGAGAUUUAGUGUUAUUAGUGGUUCUUGUUUUGCUAAAUUUUGUAUAUUGUUAUCAAGAAAUGAGAAGAUUGUAGUGUAUUAGUGUUCUUGUUUUGCUAAAUUUUGUAUAUUGUUAUCAAGACAAUGAGAAGGUCGAUAGUGUUAUUAGUUGUUUUUGUUUCUCCUCUAUUUUGUAUUUUGAAUAGAUAGAUUCGAUAGAUAAGUUAUGUCUUAUUAGUGUUCUUGUUCGCUAAUUUUUGAUAUUUGUCAAAGAAAUGAGAAGAUUGAUAGUGUUAUUAGUUUCUUGUUUUGCUAAAUUUGUCGUUAGUUGGUUGUAUAUAGAUUAAUUGAGAAGAUUGAUAUGUUAUCAGUGUCUGUGUUGUUGCUAAUUUGGGUAUAUUGUUUCAAGAAUAGCAAGAUGAUAGUUUUAUUAGUGUUUCUUGUUUCUAAUUUUGUAUAUUGCUAUAUAAAUUGAAGAUCGAUGUGUUAUUAGUGUUCUUGUUUUGCUAAUUUUCUAGUAUGUUCAAAGAAAUGAAAAGAUUGAUAGUGUUAUUAGUGUUCUUGUUUUGCUAAAUUUUGUAUAUUGUUAUCAAAGAAAUGAGAAGAUUGAUAGUGUUAUUAGUGUUCUUGUUUUGCGUAAAUUUUGUAUAUUUGUUAUCAAGGAAUGAGAAGAUUGAUUAGUGUUUUAUUAGUGUUCUGUUUUGGCUAAAUUUUGUAUAUUGUUUAUUUCAACUGAAUGGAAGAUUGAUAGGGUUUUUAGUGUUUUGUUUUGCUAAGUUUUGUAUAUUGGUUAUCAUGCAAUACGAGAAGAUGAUAGUGUUAUUAGUGUUCUUGGUUUUGCUAAAUUUUGUAUAUUGUUAUCCAAGAAAUAGAAGAUUGAUAGUGUUAUUAGUGUUCUUGUUUUUCGCUAAGUUUUGUAUAUUGUUAUAAAAAAAUGAGAAGAUUGAUAGUGAUAUUAGUGUUCUUGUUUUUGCUAAAAUUUUGUAUAUUGUAUCAAGAAAUGAGAAGUUGAUAGUGUUAUUAGUGUUCUUGUUUGCUAAAUUUUGUAUAUUGUUAUCAAAAUGAGAAGAUUGAUAGUGUUAUUAGUGUUCUUGUUAUCAAGAGAACAUUUUAAUGCUGACCUUUACCAACAAUCUCCCAAAAAUGAAAGGAUUGCCAUGGCGGAAUUCUCCAUUGGCUUCUUUUAGUCAAAUAGAGAUAUUGGAAAUCACAACUAGGAGCGAUGUAAGCCAUGACGCACUGUUCGUUGGAAUUUUAUGAUGGUUCAAAGGCCCCACCCGCUGCUUCCUAUAUCCGUACGCACAUCUUUAGGACUCUCAGUUACGUAGUUUGAUUUUUUUGGCUUCUUUUUGCUUAGGCAUACUUACCUGUUUAUCUUAUAAGAAAUGAAAGAUUGAUAGAUGUUAUUAGAGUUCUUGUUUUGCUAAAAUUGUGUAUAUUGUUAUCAAGAAAUAGAAGAUUGAUGUGUUAUUAGUGUUCUAGUUUGGCUAAAUUUGUAUAUUGCUUAUACGAAAUGAGAAGAUUGAUAGUGUUUAUCUAGUGUUCUUUUUUUUGCUAGAUUUAGGUAUAUUGUUAUCAAGAAAUGAGAAGAUUGAUAGUGUUAUUAGUGUUCUUGUUUUGCUAAAUUUUGUAUAUUGUUAUCAAGAAAUGAGAAGGUCGAUAGUGUUAUUAGUGUUCUUGUUUUCCUAAAUUUUGUAUAUUAUUAUCAAGAAAUGAGAAGAUUGAUAGACUUAUUAGUGUUCUUGUUUCGCUAAUUUUGUAUAUUCUUGUCAAGAAAUGAGAAGAUUGAUAGUGUUAUUAGCGUUCUUGUUUUGCUAAAUUUUGUAUAUUGUUGUCAAGAAAUGAGAAGAUUGAUAAUGUUAUCAGUGUUCUUGUUUUGCUAAGUUUUGUAUAUUGUUAUCAAGAAAUAUGAAGAUCGAUAGUGUUAUUAGUGUUCUUGUUUUGCUAAAUUUUGUAUAUUGCUAUAAAAAAUUAGAAGAUCGAUAGUGUUAUUAGUGUUCUUGUUUUGCUAAAUUUUCUAUAUUGUUAUCAAGAAAUGAAAAGAUUGAUAGUGUUAUUAGUGUUCUUGUUUUGCUAAAUUUUGUAUAUUGUUAUCAAAAAAUGAGAAGAUUGAUAGUGUUAUUAGUGUUCUUGUUUUGCUAAAUUUUGUAUAUUGUUAUCAAGGAAUGAGAAGAUUGAUAGUGUUAUUAGUGUUCUUGUUUUGCUAAAUUUUGUAUAUUGUUAUCA